rnacentral:rRNA from 1 species
GUGCCAGCAGCCGCGGUAAUACGUAGGUGGCAAGCGUUGUCCGGAAUUAUUGGGCGUAAAGCGCGCGCAGGCGGUCCUUUAAGUCUGAUGUGAAAGCCCACGGCUCAACCGUGGAGGGUCAUUGGAAACUGGGGGACUUGAGUGCAGAAGAGAAGAGUGGAAUUCCACGUGUAGCGGUGAAAUGCGUAGAGAUGUGGAGGAACACCAGUGGCGAAGGCGACUCUUUGGUCUGUAACUGACGCUGAGGCGCGAAAGCGUGGGGAGCAAACAGUGAAAGAUACCCUGGUAGUCC